AUGGGGAUAGCUAUUAGAAAUAGUAGAUAAUACCGAAUACGAGCACAGGGGUUAGAGAUCUAGUGAGGAAAGGAGCUAAGGCUCCGCUGAAGGAAUGGCCUGCGGCCCAUUAGCUAGUUGGUGAGGUAAGAGCCCACCAAGGCGAUGAUGGGUAUCCGGCCUUAGAGGGUGAACGGACACAUUGGGACUGAGAUACGGCCCAGACUCCUACGGGAGGCAGCAGCUAAGAAUAUUCCGCAAUGGACGAAAGUCUGACGGAGCGACGCCGCGUCGGAUGAAGAAGGCCGGAAGGUUGUAAAAUCCUUUUGAAACUGAAGAAUAAGCGUUGUAGGGAAUGACAGCGUGGUGACAGUAGGUUUUGAAUAAGCAACGGCUAAUUACGUGCCAGCCGCAGC
rnacentral:rRNA from 1 species